rnacentral:tRNA from 2 species
UAGAUUGAAGCCCGCUGGAUUGGGCUGUCAGUUGUUAACUGAUGAUUCGCGGGAUCAAGGCCCGUCGGUCUAG